UAGAUCACAAUUACGCAUAUGACGAUGAAGUUGAUUCGUUCUUUCUCUCUCUUCUUAAUUUUUGUUACCAGCUUGUUUGAUGGUUCGUGUGGAAGAAAAAGCGGGAAGGGACGAGAAAAGUAUUAUUGUCAAGGCGAUAAUUGCAUAAGCAAAGAAGAAUUUAUUGAACACAAGAAAUAUCCUACUAUGGAUGAUUUCAUGCGACAUAUGCCUGUGAUCGGAACAAUGUAUACUAAAUUAUUCACA